AAGGGGAACUCAAUUAGCCUGAGUCAAUCAGUAAAUAAAUUCCCUGGUAGGGUAGAGACUUGUAAUGCUUACCCUGUCUUUCCAGGCAUAUACAGAGAUGACAUUCUCACACAUACAUCCCUGCCACCCACCCCCACCCUUGUAGAUGGCUGGACCAUGUGACUAGUUAGACACUAGCCUGUAGUGGGCUGUGGGUAGAAGUGAUACGUGUCACUUCAAGCUAAAGCAUUUAAUUGCAAGUAUAAGUCCUUACAGUGUUUAUUCUUCCCCAGCCUCAAGACCUGUAUUGUUGAAGAUGAUAAAGCCUUUGUCAGCCUAGGUCCCCAAGAAAGGACCGUGUAGCACAGCCCACCUCCCACCCUCAUCAAGUCAGGGUGGAUAUAUAGUUUGAGUAAAAAAUAUAACUUUGUUGUUUAAGCCACUGAGAUUUGGGGUUAUUUUUUUACUGCAGUAUGACCUAGAAUCUAAAUUAUGCUAGGUCCUAUACUAUUCUAAUUAAUACACCUGAAAACCAUUAUAGUCCUGGGGUAAAGUGGCCCAAUCAGACUGAAGGGAAGGAUUUUUAGUCCAUGCUUGGGGGGAGGACUCUCUCUUUCCUACCAGGUAUGAACAAGUCAGCCUAUAACCCAGAUUGCCAGUGGCAGCAAUCAAACAACCACAAGAGGAACUCACCUUAGAAUGAAGUCAACACACUGAGGAUGGCAGAGAGAAAAACCCUUGAAGCAUAGCAAGAAUUUGGCUGUGUUCUCACCCCUGGUUGGAUCCUACUUGUGAAGAGGGUGUCAAUAGCAACUCACUCACCAUGAGGGAACCAAGAGAUCUGCCCUGAGCUAACAUCUGCUGCCAAUCCUCCUCUUUUUGCUGAGGAAGACUGGCCCUGAGCUAACAUCCAUGCCCAUCUUCCUCUACUCUAUAUGUGGGACACCUACCACAGCAUGGCUUGCCAAGUGGUGCCAUGUCUGCACCCGGGAUCCAAACCAGCAAACCCUGGGCCACCGAAGCAGAACGUAUGCACUUAACCACUGCGCCACUGGGCUGGCGCCUAGAAGUCAUUCUUUUAAGAUAGCUUGCCAGAGGUGUAACUCUCUCCCUAAAACAUAAAAAGUAGUGUGCCCACUUGGUGGGCGUUAUUUUACUCUCUUUCAAACAUAUUUACACAUUACCUGUAGCCUUGGAAAGUAGCAAACUGGCUACAAGUUAACAUCUUGUGAAUCACACAGCCUCACUUUACCGUCCAGCUCGUGCACCCUGUGCUGCUUCUAGCUCCUCUGGAAGCCAGAAAGACCAGUCGGUUAGAUUAUAAAGGUUAAUUAAAUACCAUAAAAUGUAUACAGGA
rnacentral:lncRNA from 1 species